CUUGGUCAUUUAGAGGAAGUAAAAGUCGUAACAAGGUUUCCGUAAGUGAACCUGCGGAAGGAUCAUUAGUGAACGCCCUCACGGGCUUAUAACUAUUCCAAACCUCUGUGAACCGUGCCUUUCGGGGCUAUUUUACAAACAUGGUGUAAUGAACGUCAUAUAUCAUAACAAAACAAAACUUUCAACAACGGAUCUCUUGGCUCUCGCAUCGAUGAAGAACGCAGCGAAAUGCGAUAAGUAAUGUGAAUUGCAGAAUUCAGUGAAUCAUCGAAUCUUUGAACGCACCUUGCGCCCUCUGGUAUUCCGGAGGGCAUGCCUGUUUGAGUGUCAUGUAGACUCAAUCCCUCGGGUUUCCGAGGAGGUUGGACUUGGGUGUUGCCGCUCUGCCGGCUCGCCUUAAAAGACUUAGCGGGAUAGCACCGUAGUCGGCGUAAUAAGUUUCAUCGGUGAAGGUUGUGAUGACUGCUUACAAUCGCCCUCGGGCAAUUUUUGACUCUGACCUC
rnacentral:sRNA from 1 species